rnacentral:rRNA from 1 species
CCUACGGGAGGCAGCAGUGGGGAAUAUUGGACAAUGGGCGAAAGCCUGAUCCAGCCAUGCCGCGUGUGUGAAGAAGGCCUUCGGGUUGUAAAGCACUUUCAGUGGGGAAGAAAGCCUUGGGGCUAAUACCCUCGAGGAAGGACAUCACCCACAGAAGAAGCACCGGCUAACUCCGUGCCAGCAGCCGCGGUAAUACGGAGGGUGCGAGCGUUAAUCGGAAUUACUGGGCGUAAAGCGCGCGUAGGCGGUCUGAUAAGCCGGUUGUGAAAGCCCCGGGCUCAACCUGGGAACGGCAUCCGGAACUGUCAGGCUAGAGUGCAGGAGAGGAAGGUAGAAUUCCCGGUGUAGCGGUGAAAUGCGUAGAGAUCGGGAGGAAUACCAGUGGCGAAGGCGGCCUUCUGGACAGACACUGACGCUGAGGUGCGAAAGCGUGGGUAGCAAACAGGAUUAGAUACCCUGGUAGUC